rnacentral:rRNA from 1 species
AAGGUAGCGAAAUUCCUUGUCGGGUAAGUUCCGACCUGCACGAAUGGCGUAACGAUCUCCACACUGUCUCGGCCAGAGACUCGGUGAAAUUGCAGUCGCGGUGAAAAUUCCGUGUACCCGCAGAAAGACGGAAAGACCCUGUGCACCUUUACUAUAGCUUGACAUUGGAUUUUGGGCCUGCAUGUGUAGGAUAGGUGGGAGGCUGUGAACCCUGUACGCCAGUAUGGGGGGAGCCAUCCUUGAAAUACCACCCUUGCAUGUUUAAGAUCCUAACUUCUUCCGGUUAUCCCGGAGAAAGACAGUGUCUGGCGGGUAGUUUGACUGGGGCGGUCGCCUCCUAAAGUGUAACGGAGGCAUGCAAAGGUUCCCUCAGCCUGAUCGGAAACCAGGCGCUGAGUGCAAACGCAUAAGGGAGCUUGACUGUAAGAGAGACAUCUCGAACAGGAACGAAAGUUGGCGUUAGUGAUCCGGUGGUCCCGAAUGGAAGGGCCAUCGCUCAUUGGAUAAAAGGUACGCCGGGGAUAACAGGCUGAUCGCAUCCAAGAGUUCACAUCGACGAUGCGGUUUGGCACCUCGAUGUCGGCUCAUCACAUCCUGGGGCUGAAGCAGGUCCCAAGGGUACGGCUGUUCGCCGUUUAAAGUGGUACGCGAGCUGGGUUUAAAACGUCGUGAGACAGUUUGGUCCCUAUCUUCUGUGGGCGAAGGAGAAUUGAGAGGGCCUGUCCCUAGUACGAGAGGACCGGGAUGGACGCACCCCUGGUGAUCCUGUUGUCGCGCCAGCGGCAUAGCAGGGUAGCUAUGUGCGGAAGGGAUAACCGCUGAAAGCAUCUAAGCGGGAAGCCUGCCUUAAGAUAAGUUCUCCCUGGAGCAAUCCCUAAAGGGCCGAGGUAGACUACCUCGUUGAUAGGCUGGAGGUGGAAGCGCCGCGAGGUGUGGAGCUGACCAGUACUAAUAGCCCGUGCGGCUUGUGUUU